rnacentral:rRNA from 1 species
GACGUAGGGGGCGAGCGUUGUCCGGAAUUACUGGGCGUAAAGAGCACGUAGGCGGGUUAAGAAGUCAGAUGUGAAAGACCGUGGCCUAACCACGGGGUUGCAUCUGAAACUUUUAAUCUUGAGGGCAGGAGAGGAAAGUGGAAUUCCUGGUGUAGCGGUGAAAUGCGUAGAAAUCAGGAGGAAUACCAGUGGCGAAGGCGACUUUCUGGACUGACCCUGACGCUGAGGUGCGAAAGCGUGGGUAGCAAACAGGAUUAGAUACC